rnacentral:rRNA from 1 species
UGUAGAUGAGGAGAGAAUCCUAAGGCCAACGGGAGAAGGGUUGUUAAGGAACUCGGCAAAUUGACCCCGUAACUUCGGGAAAAGGGGAGCCUCCUACGGGAGGCUGCAGAGAAUAGGCCCAAGCAACUGUUUACCAAAAACACAGGUCUCUGCUAAAUCGAAAGAUGACGUAUAGGGGCUGACGCCUGCCCGGUGCCGGAAGGUUAAGAGGAGAGCUUAGCGCAAGCGAAGGUUCGAAUUGAAGCCCCGGUAAACGGCGGCCGUAACAAUAACGGUCCUAAGGUAGCGAAAUUCCUUGUCAGGUAAGUUCUGACCCGCACGAAUGGCGUAAUGAUUUGGGCACUGUCUCAACAGCCCGCCCGGCGAAAUUGUAGUACUGGUGAAGAUGCCAGUUACCCGCAACUAGACGGAAAGACCCCAUGGAGCUUUACUGUAGCUUAAUACUGAAGAUCGGUAAUGCAUGUACAGGAUAGGUGGGAGCCUAGGAAACCCGGGCGUCAGCUUGGGCGGAGGCAACCUUGGAAUACCACCCUUGUAUUGCUGGUUUUCUAACCUGCGGCCAUGAAUCUGGUCGGGGGACACUGUUAGGUGGGCAGUUUGACUGGGGCGGUCGCCUCCAAAAGCGUAACGGAGGCGCUCAAAGGUUGGCUCAGCACGGACGGAAAUCGUGCAUAGAGUGCAAACGCAUAAGCCAACUUGACUGCGAGACCGACGGGUCGAGCAGGUACGAAAGUAGGAGUUAGUGAUCCGGUGGUAUGUGAGUGGAAAUGCCAUCGCUCAACGGAUAAAAGCUACCCUGGGGAUAACAGGCUGAUCUCCCCCAAGCGUCCACAGCGACGGGGAGGUUUGGCACCUCGAUGUCGGCUCGUCACAUCCUGGGGCUGAUUCGGUCCCAAGGGUUCGGCUGUUCGCCGAUUGAAGUGGCACGCGAGCUGGGUUCAGAACGUCGUGAGACAGUUCGGUCCCUAUCUGUUGCGGGCGCAGGAGAUUUGAAGGGAGCUGUCCUUAGUACGAGAGGACCGGGAUGGACAGACCUCUGGUGCACCAGUUGUCGUGCCAACGGCGCAGCUGGGUAGCUACGUCUGGACGAGAUAAACGCUGAAAGCAUCUAAGUGUGAAACUCCCCCUAAGAUAAGAUCUCCCAUCCUUUAUGGAGUAAGGGACGACAAAGACUAUGUCGUUGAUAGGUCGGAAGUGUAAGUGCAGUAAUGCAUUGAGCUGACCGAUACUAAUAACCCGAGGGCUUGACC